GACGAACGCUGGCGGCGUGCUUAACACAUGCAAGUCGAACGGAAAGGCCCUGCUCUUGCGGGGUGCUCGAGUGGCGAACGGGUGAGUAACACGUGAGUAAACUGCCCUUGACUGUGGGAUAACUCCAGGAAACUGGGGCUAAUACCGGAUAGGAGCUACUGCUGCACGGUGGGGGUUGGAAAGUUUCGGCGGUGGGGGAUGGACUCGCGGCUUAUCAGCUUGUUGGUGGGGUAGUGGCUUACCAAGGCUUUGACGGGUAGCCGGCCUGAGAGGGUGACCGGCCACAUUGGGACUGAGGUACGGCCCAGACUCCUACGGGAGGCAGCAGUGGGGAAUAUUGCACAAUGGGCGGAAGCCUGAUGCAGCAACGCCGCGUGCGUGAUGACGGCCUUCGGGUUGUAAACCGCUUUCGCCUGUGACGAAGCGUGAGUGACGGUAAUGGGUAAAGAAGCACCGGCUAACUACGUG
rnacentral:rRNA from 1 species